rnacentral:tRNA from 1 species
UGGCGAGUGGCGAAGCGGCAACGCAGCGCACUGUUAAUGCGCCCAGCGCAGGUUCGAAUCCCGCCUCGUCAG